CCUACGGGCGGCAGCAGUGAGGAAUAUUGGUCAAUGGACGAGAGUCUGAACCAGCCAAGUAGCGUGAAGGAUGACUGCCCUAUGGGUUGUAAACUUCUUUUAUAUGGGAAUAAAAUGUUCCACGUGUGGGAUUUUGUAUGUACCAUAUGAAUAAGGAUCGGCUAACUCCGUGCCAGCAGCCGCGGUAAUACGGAGGAUCCGAGCGUUAUCCGGAUUUAUUGGGUUUAAAGGGAGCGUAGGUGGAUUGUUAAGUCAGUUGUGAAAGUUUGCGGCUCAACCGUAAAAUUGCAGUUGAAACUGGCAGUCUUGAGUACAGUAGAGGUGGGCGGAAUUCGUGGUGUAGCGGUGAAAUGCGUAGAUAUCACGAAGAACUCCGAUUGCGAAGGCAGUUCACUGGACUGCAACUGACACUGAGGCUCGAAAGUGUGGGUAUCAAACAGGAUUAGAUACCCCUGUAGUC
rnacentral:rRNA from 1 species